AAUAAAGGAGCAACAAUUAACCAGAAUCCCACACCAAAUCCAAGUGCCAUGCUAACAAAGAACCAAUUCACUCCAUGCUCACCAUUCUCUGUUCCAGAGCGGUCAAUAUAUGGACUUUGUUGGUUGGAACUACAAUUGAUAAGUAGAGGUGGUGAUGGAGAUCAAGAUCAAGAGAACAUAGAGGCCAAUCAACAAGAUCAAGAAGAGGUGGAGGCACAAAUAGAAGACGCCCAUGGAGGUCAAAGUCCACCUCAAAGGCUUACAAGAAGCAUGUUUAAAGCUUUAGGAGCUAGAGGACAUUUAUUUUCUCUUUUUGUAAUUUCUUUAGUUGAAGGUGCUUAGAGGGAAACUUUAGAAACCUCUAUUGUUAUAGCAUCUUUUAGGCUUUAGUUAGGAGCUUUAGGGGGGGUGUGUUAGUAGAUAGGUGUAGAAGUAGAAUAGGAGGUGCCAAAGUGAAGGAAGGAGUCACACCUUCCUCAUGACUUGAAAUAGGCGCCGGUUUUAGCUUGCUUUAGGAGGGAAAUUUGAAUUGUUUUAGCUUGCAUUUUCAGCACCUUAGGCUAUAAAUAGAGGUGCUCUCUUUGUAAAAUUCAGAUUGGAAUUUAUCUAAAGAAACUAUACUCAAAAUUGGAGUGAGCAUUGGAGAGCUUUUGAGCCUUCUUCUCUAGUCUUAUCUUGAAGGAUCCAUGGUGUCCUCAAGUGGCGGCAACACUCUCAUCUAGGAGCAUCCACACUUCUAGUGGCGAGAUCAUCCAUCAUUCAUCCAUCUUCAUGAGCAAUUCUUCUCUCCUUCCUUUCUUCUUUGUUAAUUCCUUGUUCUAAGCUUGUUGUCUUGUUGUUUUGGUUCGGCUGUUCUUGUUUUCCAGCACCUAUUUUCUGUUCUUUGCCUUUUAAUUUCACUUUGUUCGGUUCAGUUUGCUUAUCAUCCUUUUCUGUUCGGUGUGUUUUAAUUUUACCUCUCUUUGUUGAUUCAAUUUCACAAUAUGUGGAACAUCCAAAUGAGUUUGGGAUUUGGUACUAGUUUUUGGUGAGUUCUUGUCUUAGAACAAUGAUCCAACUCUAAGAAAAGUGCCUCAAUAAUGUCCAGCUCAAGGUGAUUCCUAAGAAUGUCAAGAAUCAUCCUCUAUAUGGCUAGUGGAAUCACAUCAGGUGGACCACACAAAUUAUUUCCAACAAAGUCCGUUGCUUCAAAGCUUUGAAUUUGAAUUCCUGUUGGAAUCUUUCCCUUUAAAUGGUUAUAAGACAAGUCUAGGUGGUUGAGAAAG
rnacentral:lncRNA from 1 species